rnacentral:lncRNA from 1 species
CGUAAUAACAGCAGACCCCCCCCCCUACUCCCCCUUUGCCGGGAGCCUGGGUGGCAGCCAGCUUUGUCACUCUUCCCAUAUUCCCACGCUGCUGCCUGGGAGGAUGUGGGGAGCCACUGUAAUAGUAUGUGUCAUAUUUGUACUAUGCCUGACUCAUUUCCAGACGUGAAAUAAUCUCUGGGACCAUGACGCUUCACGACGCCCUUGAAGUCUUUUUGUGGCAGUUACAGAAUUUCUGUGAGUUGCCCCCCUGCUUGGAAAACAGGCUUCAGAUGCUCCUUUUAUGCUAAGUCAGUGGUUCCCAACUUUGUCUGCCAUGAGAAUCACUGGGGAGAUUUGAAAAAUUCUGAAGCUCCCAGCCACCGUCCAGACCCAUUCAGUCAAAAUCUCUGAGGGUGGGGCUCAGGCCUCCAUAGUGUUGAAGCCAGGGGGUUCCGGGCACUGCCUAGUUUGGGAAUCGUGGUGCCAGACGGCCAGGAAGGAGAUGGGGCCAUCAGCCGAUCCCAUGGCUGUUGCCAGCUGCUUCCUUCUGCUUCCCUUUAGGGAUAUUCCAAGGCCAAACCCAGUUAGAGUCUUUAGCAUGUAUCAUUUCCAAUCCAUUUGAGAGAGCCUUCACAAAUAGAAAAGGCUGGAUUUAAAUUUUUUCCAUUUCCAGGGAGUUCCUGUCAUGGCUCAGCGAUAAUGAAUCCAACUAGGGUCCAUGAAGAGGCAGAUGCCAUGCCUGGCCUCGCUCAGUGGUUUAAGCAUCUGGUGUUGCCGUGAGCUGUGGGGUAGGUCACAGACAUGGCUUGGAUCCUGCGUUGCUGUGGCUGUGGUGUAGGCUGGCAGCUGCGGCUCCAAUUCGAUCCCUAGCCUGGGAACUUUCAUAUGCCGUCGGUGUGGCCCUAAAAAGCAAAAAAAUAAAAAAUGUUCCCCAUUUCUAACAGAGUUUUAAAUAUUUUUUUCCCAAAUGUAAAAAUACACUGUUGGGAGUUCCCUGGUGGCUCAGCAGGGAACUCCUCUCCCAGGGUAAUUUGCAUUCAAAAAAGAACAUGCCCACAGAAGAUAAUCCAGACCCCAAAAGAACAAAUCUCAGUCCAUUAAUUUCACAGGGAAGAGGGCCAUGAGACAGUGAAGGCAAAGCCUGGGUGGUGCAUGCGCAGGACCAGGAACACCAAAGUUUGCCAGCCAACCGCCAGAAGCCGGGAGAGAAGCCUGGAACAGACGCUCCCUCACAGUCCUCAAAAGGAACCUACCCCGCCGACAUCUUAUUCCUGGAUUUCUUGAGAACAGUGAAAUGGUAAAUGUCUUUUUUUCUUUUUAUGGCUGCACCUGUAUCAUAUGGAAGUUCCCAGGCUAGGGAUCGGAUUGGAGCUGCAGCCACUGGCCUACACCACAGCCACGGCAACUCAGGAUCUGAGCCGUGCACCUACACUGCAGCUCGCAGCAACACUGGCUCCUUAACUCACUGAGCGAGGCCAGGGAUGGAAUCCGAAUCCUCUCGGAUAGUGGUCGGGUUCUUAACCUGCUGAGCCACAACGGGAACUCCCGACAUGCCACCCAGAGGUACCUUGUUACCAUGACAAAUGCCUCAGCAGGCCUGCAGGUGGGGGUGUGUGGGAGGCAGAAACCAGAGGCCCAGAAGAGACCUUGGUUCCCAGAUGCCCCAAGGACACCCAUGAGAACAAAGAGGCCACUCAAGAGAUAGGGCUAGGUUAACCCCAUCACACCCAGAGCUGAAUCACCAGAAACAGAAACUCUCCCUCCCUGCAGGGAGCCAAGAAUCCUGUGGGACCAGGCUGU